rnacentral:lncRNA from 1 species
AAAUUUUCUCCCUAAUACUCUCGCUAAUAGUUACGAGUAUUGAGUAGAAAUUUGCCCCAACUUUGGAAUCAGUUAUCCUCCUCCUCUCUGUGAAAAACAAAUUGUAAAUAACUAUCAAUUUUUUGUUUUCAUAAACUGUGAAAAUAGUUAAAAAAUCAAAACCAGUAAAAAAAAUAGCCAAAAGCAGCAAAAAAAACACCAAAUAAUAGAUUUAUCCAAUAAAAAGCAGUAAAAACAGUUGAGAUAACAGUCGAAACAGUAAAACAGCAGUAAAUAAAAGUUGAAAUAGUAUAAUCAACAAAAAUAACAGAAGAAAAAAUAAAAAGUUGCCCAGAAACAAUCAAAAAAACUAAAAAUAGUAUAAAUACAAAAAAUAAGCAGAAAAAAAAGAGCAAAUAACAAUUAAUUUUUGUUUAUAAGAACUGUAAGACCAGUAAAAAAAAACUUUAUCUGUAACAGGAAAAACAUAAAAAAAAAUUACCCAAAAACAGUAGAAAAAUACAAAUAACAUAUUUAUCCAGUAAAAAAGAGCAAAAAUAACAGUAACUAAGAGUAGAAACAACAGAAAAAUAAUAAAUAAUAGUAAAAAUAGCAAAAUCAACAGAAAAUAACAGCAGAAGAUAAAAAGUUACAGCAUCAAAUAACAGUAGAAAGAACAAACACAGCAGUAAAUAACAGUAUAAACAGCAGAAUCAAUGCAAAUAGCAGCAAAAAAAUAAAAGCUUACCCAAAAGUAGUAAAAAAAAAAUCAAAUAAUUGUAGAAACAAUAAAAAUUAGCAAAAACAGUGGAAAGAGCAGCAAACAAGUGCAGCUUAAAGUGACGGUAAUACGACAAAAUAAAAAUGUAGGCCAAUAGGCUAUGGUGAAAAGCCUAGUAGAGUAGUGGACCACUUCAAAUUUUUUGAGUUAUAGACUUUAGCAAGUUGGAUUUAAUGAAAAACUAAUUCAAGAUUUAACACAAUUUUUGUAAUUAUUUCUCUAUUAAUGUGCAGAAGAGUCAAUGAAUUGGAAAGCAAAAGCUUGGAUAUUUAUAGAAUCAAAUGGAUUGUUAUGGAGUUUAAGGUGUGAACCAAUGAUUUCUACUGUCUAGGUCCAGUUACUCAAACAACAACCUAAUUAAAAUCCUCUUCUUUGUUUAUUAUUAUUAUUCUUAUUAAAAGGAAGAAUUGAUUGGGCAGGUCUAUAUGCUAUGUUUUUGCAAACUUUUUUCAAGGGUAGCAUUCUUUCGAAAAUCAAGUCAAAGAAGCUACUCCCUAUACCAUGGUGCUUUCCCCAACUUUACCAUUAGUGCCCACUGCCAUGCAACUAAAUUUUUAAUAAAUAUAUCUCCUACUUUUUCUUUUCGGGAAUAUACCUUCAAAAUUAUCAGGGUUCAAUUUUGGCUAGUUAUACAAAUACCACUUUUACUUGAUGGUUAGAGAUUCUAUUCCAUAACAGCUCAAUCACACAUAAUUCAAAAACGCCCAAGUCACACACACAAGAACAAAAGAAGGCAUAACAACUGAAACGAGAGAGGGGGUGGAGAGAGUUCCAGUAUAAAUUCAGGAUCCCCAAACCCCUAAACUUGCCACACAUAACACAUACCACCUCCCUCCGUCAGCAGACAACAAAGUACUCAAGGAUAAAUUGGCACAUCAUCAUAACAAAAAAGAAAAAAAAAUAUAUAGAUGCUUCCAGACCUCAGAAUAGCAAGUGCGCACAAAAGAUGAAAAAAUGUGGACUUAUAAAACUAUCACAGCUUCAUCCAAGCACAAUUAUACCAAAGCAAGGAAGCAAAGUCCAAUAUUGUCAUAGAAUUAUAUAAAAAUUAGAUAGUUAAGCAAAAGUGUGCAUACCAUCUCCAUGGACACUUAAAUCCAAAAAAUUAUAACAAAAAUUAGAUAAGAAAAGAAUGUAACGUGAAAGAUUUGUGCUCAUACAGGAAUUGUAGUUUUGAAAACUGACGAUGGUGAAUGAAGUCAGAGGCAGCGAACAUCGACAGGAGCGAGGAACCGAAUCGAAAACAACAACAAGCUACAGCGUCGACACACUUGAACGAAAGUCACAGGGGCGGCAGCUGGCGUGGGUGUGUGAGUGUGACUAUCGUUCUCUCUCUCUUUCACGAUAGAGAAGAAGAACUCAAGUGAAA